AAGAUUCGACAUUGUCUUUAGGAAGUGUUUCACCUGCUUCUCUAUGUCUUCGUCGUCAUAAGAUCACCAAAGAGUAUUUCCUUCCCCCCCCCCUCCAACGUUUGCAUAAACACCCAUCCUCGUUGCACAUUGUUUAGUACGUAUAUUCGUUAUGCAGAUAAAAAGAGACUAUUUCAAAAUUUAUUUAUGUGUAAAAGCAAAUCAAUUGUUAAUGUGAAUAA